rnacentral:misc_RNA from 1 species
GGAAGUAAAAGUCGUAACAAGAUUUCCGUAGGUGAACCUGCGGAAGGACCAUUCAUAAUAAAGUGUUUUAUGGCACUUUUUAAAAAUCCAUAUCCACCUUGUGUGCAAUGUUAGAUCUCGUCAAUCUUGGCGAGAUUUUUAUACAUCAACUCAUUCUUUAACUAAUUUGCCUGAAAAAUAUUAUGAAUACUUAAUUCAAAAUACAACUUUCAACAACGGAUCUCUUGGCUCUC